CCUACGGGGGGCUGCAGUGGGGAAUCUUGCACAAUGGAGGAAACUCUGAUGCAGCGACGCCGCGUGGACGACGAAGCCCUUCGGGGUGUAAAGUCCUUUCGACCGGAACGAUAAUGACGGUACCGGUGGAAGAAGCUGCGGCUAACUACGUGCCAGCAGCCGCGGUAAUACGUAGGCAGCAAGCGUUGUUCGGAAUUACUGGGCGUAAAGAGUUCGUAGGCGGUGCGGUAAGUUUGGUGUGAAAUCUCCCGGCUCAACUGGGAGGGUGCGCUAGA
rnacentral:rRNA from 1 species